rnacentral:lncRNA from 1 species
UGGUAAAAUGAUACAAUAAGUUCCUAGAUCUUGCAUGAUGUGUGGGAUUUUAUUUUAUAUGUAUCAAGAAUUUUCAUUGAUUUUCGGGUCAACAAUUUUGUAAGUUUGAAUAUCCCUGAAAUUGAUUUUUCAAAAUUUAUUUAUGAAAUUUUGUUUGAAGUUUUUGGGCUGGAAAUUGGUUAUUUUUGAUGAUUGAACAGUGUGAAAUAUUUUUUAAUUUUUCUGAAAUUUUUGGGCCUCAGUUUAAAAUUUUUUUUUAAAAUUU